GAGGGCUCUCCCGGCGUGGUCAUGCUGUGCGCGCAGAGCCGCCGCACUAAAUGCGGGGAGGCGCGGCUCGCAGGCUCAGGUCCCGGCCGUGCGCGGCGACGGGAACCAAAGCCGGGCGGAUCUGCGUGUCUCCUCUUCAUUCCCGGCCGGAGCUGGCGGACCCAGACGCGAGUCACACAUGGUCUGGGGGCAGCAUUGCUUCCAGGCAGGGCAGCAGUGCCGUGUUAGGCGACAUGCUACGUUUAUGGAAAGAAAAUCCCUUCUACAUGUUUUAAACAGGACAUCUCCAGUAAGCAGAGAGCUGACUCCAGUCCGAACUGCACAGGAUUCAGCAUCUAGACGUGAGGAAAUGUCUGACCCUCAGCCUGACCUGCCUUAGGAAUUGGACGGCCAGGACUCGGACCGCAGCAGGAAGAAGGCGGCCAGCCGGCCGGGGCCAGGAGUUGAUGGGUUUCCAGAACGCAAGGAGCCUCUCUGAACCAAUGACGUGCUCUGUACAACCGAGAUGCCGGUGUUUGCGCUGCAGGCUGUGGUUACAUGGGACCUUGAGGGUGUUGCUCCUGGGAGAGCCAUGGAAAGAAAAGUGGUGCAACACCUGAAAAAUGGAAGUCAUGAAGUCUUAGGCGGACAGGCCCAGGGUUAGAAUGCGAGGCCCCUGAAGCCGCAGACGGGUUUCGAUCGCGCAGAAAGCAGUUGGGUCCAGCUAACUCGUGCUCUUCUGGUUGGAAAGAAACUUGCGUUCUGGCGAAGCAGGGGAUUUCUAUCUCCGAGAGGAUGCCAACACGAUUUCUUCUGCCAAACCAAACCGAAGGAAGAACAUGGAGGUCUCCAGAGUUCAUCAGCAGACACAAGCCACCUAAAGAACAACACCGAGUUCCUGUCUCCCUUUUAGGUCGUACAUUCCUUGAGGAUGACGGUUACUCGACUUCGUACCUCGCCCCUAGCACACAGUUGGUGCAGACAUUGCUUCUGAAUGAAUGAGGCGUAUAAAUCAUCGCUUUAUACCCUGGCAUUGGGCCCUUUUCAAAGAAGCAAUAAACGUGUCGAAUUUCCUGUGCUGUCAGAAACAUUGUGUAAUCAUCCUGUUAAAAAUAAAGGACUCCAAGGCUGGCUGAGCGAAUUCUCCAGCCACUAGAUGCUCUUUCCUCUUUGGGCCGCUCAGCUGUGCAGCCGGAAAUGGGUGGUGGGAGAGGAGCUGGGGCAUCUGCGAAGACCCGGGAAUGCUGGCUAUGUCAGAAAGUGUUUGGAGAAUGCCUCGGAAGCAGAGGGAGUAUUUGUAGAGCAAUCCACGCACAAAGAUACUCGAACCAGAGAAAAUGCACUCAAAAUAGAUGCGUGGGGCACAUUCACAGAAUGUCACAUUUUCACCACGUUUAUGUGCUACAGCCUACCGUGAACCUGAGCAACACGUGUGUGCCACAGA